rnacentral:rRNA from 1 species
GAUGAACGCUGGCGGCGUGCUUAACACAUGCAAGUCGAACGGAAAGGCCCAAGCUUGCUUGGGUACUCGAGUGGCGAACGGGUGAGUAACACGUGGGUGAUCUGCCCUGCACUUCGGGAUAAGCCUGGGAAACUGGGUCUAAUACCGGAUAGGACGAUGGUUUGGAUGCCAUUGUGGAAAGUUUUUUCGGUGUGGGAUGAGCUCGCGGCCUAUCAGCUUGUUGGUGGGGUAUUGGCGUACCAAGGCGUCGACGGGUAGCCGGCCUGUGAGGGUGUACGGCCACACUUGGAAGGAGAGAAAGGCCAGACUCCUACGGGGGGGAGAAGAGGGGAAUAUUGCACAAAGGGGGCAAGCCUGAGGCAGCGAAGCCGCGUGGGGGAUGACGGCGUUCGGGGUGUAAACUCCUGUCGCGAGGGACGAAGCGUUUUUGUGACGGUACCUGGAGAAGAAGCACCGGCUAACUACGUG